GUCUGCAUAGCUCAGUUGGUUAGAGCAUGGGGCUGAUAAUGCCAAGGUUGCAGGUUUGAUCCCCAUAUGGGACA
rnacentral:tRNA from 1 species